rnacentral:lncRNA from 1 species
AGGCAAGUCCUGGGAUGCCCACAAGUCAAGGCUGCAGGCUGUGGACACACGUGUGGACAUAGAAGAAGGGAUCCAUGAGCCAGCUGAGACCCAGGCGAGAUAGGAAACAAGCAGCUGUCCUACGUGUGGCUUCCUGCCACCUACCCCACCUGAGUCCGGGGCCUAGCUUCUCUCUCUUCUCUCCUUCUCUUAUUUCUCUACUAACCACAGUUGAUGGUUGGCCUCGCAAUUUCGUCUCUGGGUGAGAGGAUCCGAGGUGGGGCUAGACCAGAAUAUGAGGAGUGAUUCAUUCCUUAGAGGUGGAUUGCAUAACUGUCCCCCAGAGUGAGGCUACGUGCUUUUGGAACUUUAUGUCUCCCUUUUUCCAGAACAGAGGGUCUUCAUUCAUGUGAAAGGAACUGCAUUUGUUAGGUGAAGCCUUGAAGACAGAGGUGUUGGUGUUGUGUGUGUAAAUUCACAGGUGUGUAAAUUCACAGGUGUGCAAAAGAGUUCGGCAGGAGGCUAAGCGAGAGCCAGAUGGUGGAGAGUGAGGAGAUCUUUUCCUUAGGUCUGGGCUCUGCAAACACAUUUCUCCUUUGGAGAUGCUCCCAUGAGGCUCUGCCCAAAGGACAAGAGGAUGCUGGGGGGCUAGAGCAGGGAGGGGUCUUGUUUGUCCCCUUUUGUCACGUUCCUGGUCAGCACUGUCUCACCAGUGGCCUGCACUCUGGCUGAGCCCAGGUCCAGGUUUCCCAUAACCUGAGCUCCAUGGGGUUCUUCCCUUACUCUGUGGCACCAGCAUCUGGUGGGCCAUGAAUCAUCCCUCUUCCUCAGGGACCCGGGUCCCAGCUCUGCAGGGCCUCUGCCCCAAGCCCUUAUGUCCUGAGUUCAACUUUGGAAGUAAGAGCAGAGACUAACAGGGGGAUCUGUCUGAUGGAAAGUUUUCAGUCAGUGAUAGGACUUCAAAUAGAACUCAAGAACUAUGGCAAAGACAAGAGGAAUGUUCGGAUCUCCGUGAUGUGAAGACUGGACCUAUUUACAGAUGAAG